rnacentral:lncRNA from 1 species
GUCGCUCAAUCUGCAGGCGUCGCUCCCUCCGCCAGGCAGAGGGAAUCUCAUCCAGCAGCGGCGCUCAUCCCUUGGGUGAAGAACAUCGGUGGGUUUUCGAGGAUUAAGGGUAUGUUCGUGAAGAGGAGGAGGAAUGAUGACGAAGAUGGAUUUGGUGUGAAACCGAAUCAAAUGGAUUUGGAUAGAUUCUGCGUGUUUCCGAUUGAGGAGAGAGAUUUGAGUGAGACGGGGUUUAUUGAACUGAAGCAACAACUCUUCUCUGCAGGAAGGAGCAGCAGAGCUUCUGAUGCUAGAAAUGAGAACUUUGAGAUUCUUGCCGGUUUGAGAACAACUGGGAAUUCUUGCAGGCUUACCAUGAACGAAAGGGGAAUCAAGCAAGGGAGCAGAAGCA